AUCAGGGGCCCUGGCAAGGGCCUUCGGAUCGCCGCUCUAACUCACCCACCUGAGCCGAUUCGUGUCUGUACCGCCCACAAGGCGCGUUUGACGAGAUUGCGACUGGAACGAAGUUGUCCCGAGGGACGGAAGCGUAAUCAGGUAGAACGGCAAUACCCGCAAAGCCAGCAUGAGGCCCACGACGCCCCGCUGCGCCCCAAGGAUCGCCCUCGCCCGCUCGUCUCCCCCUUGAGCCCAUCGUUC
rnacentral:ncRNA from 1 species